AUUCGCGAGCCUGGAGCCGACGAUGCCACCUGAUCCCAUCCCGAACUCAGUAGUGAAACGACGCAUCGCCGAUGGUAGUGUGGAGCUUCUCCAUGUGAGAGUAGGUCAUCGUCAAGA
rnacentral:rRNA from 1 species